rnacentral:rRNA from 1 species
UAAGACGUAGGGAGCGAGCGUUGUCCGGAAUUACUGGGCGUAAAGAGCUCGUAGGCGGGACCGUAAGUCCGAGAGGAAAUCUCAAGGCUCAACUUUGGGGCUUUCUUGGAUACUGCGGUUCUUGAGGAUGAGAGAGGUAAGUAGAAUUCCCGGUGUAGCGGUGAAAUGCGUAGAUAUCGGGAGGAAUACCAGUGGCGAAGGCGGCUUACUGGCUCAUUCCUGACGCUGAGGAGCGAAAGCGUGGGGAGCAAACGGGAUUAGAUACCCCGGUAGUCCACGCCGUAAACGAUGGAUACUAGGUGUAGGAGGUAUCGACCCCUUCUGUGCCGACGUUAACACAUUAAGUAUCCCGCCUGGGGAGUACGGUCGCAAGGCUG